rnacentral:rRNA from 1 species
UUCUGGCUCAGGAUGAACGCUAGCUACAGGCUUAACACAUGCAAGUCGAGGGGCAGCGGGGAUCUAGCUUGCUAGGUCUGCCGGCGACCGGCGCACGGGUGAGUAACGCGUAUCCAACCUUCCCCUUAGUAGGGCAUAGCCCGUAGAAAUGCGGAUUAAUACCCUAUGUUCUUCGUCGAGGACAUCUGAAGUGAAGCAAAGAUUUAUCGCUAAGGGAUGGGGAUGCGUCUGAUUAGCUUGCCGGCGGGGUAACGGCCCACCGGGGCAACGAUCAGUAGGGGUUCUGAGAGGAAGGUCCCCCACAUUGGAACUGAGACACGGUCCAAACUCCUACGGGAGGCAGCAGUGAGGAAUAUUGGUCAAUGGUCGAGAGACUGAACCAGCCAAGUAGCCGUGCAGGAUGACGGCCCUAUGGGUUGUAAACUGCUUUUAUGCGGGGAUAAAGUUCACUACGUGUAGUGUUUUGUAGGUACCGCAUGAAUAAGGACCGGCUAAUUCCGUGCCAGCCGCGGC